CUGCUCUCUGAAAAAAAACUGGAGGAUCCAAACUGCUCACUGGACAAACUCAAUGUGGAUCAUGGAGGACAGUUCAGGAUUACAGCAGGACCACGAAAAUAUGCCUGUUUACUCACACUGGAUCCAAACACAGCAAGCACUGGUAUCAGUCUGUCUGAGGAGAACAGAAAGGUGACAGGUGUGAUAAAGUAUAGUCAUAGUAGUAGUCGUCUAUACAUAUCUAAUCAAUAUCCUCAGGUGUUGUGUAGAGAGAGUGUGUGUGGACGCUGUUACUGGGAGAUUGAGUGGAGUGGACGUGUGUAUAUAUCAGUGUCAUAUAAGAGCAUCAGCAGGAAUAGAGGUCAGGAGUGUUGGUUUGGAAAUAAUGAGCAGUCCUGGAGUUUGUUCUGCUCUUCCUCCAGUUACUCAUUCACACACAAUAACAUAAAGACUGAUCUCCCUGUGGAGUCCAUCAGCAGGAGAAUAGGAGUGUUUGUGGAUCACAGUGCAGGAACUCUGUCCUUCUACAG